ensembl:snRNA U6 U6 spliceosomal RNA
AUAAUGCUCACUUUGGCAACGCAUAUAUUAGAACAAUGCAGAGAAGAUGAGUGUGGCCCUGUGCAGGGAUGACGUGCCAAUUUGUGAUGUGUUCCAUAUUUCA